AAUAGAUACCCGGGUAGUCCACGCCGUAAACGAUGAGUGCUAAGUGUUAGGGGGUUUCCGCCCCUUAGUGCUGCAGCUAACGCAUUAAGCACUCCGCCUGGGGAGUACGGUCGCAAGACUGAAACUCAAAGGAAUUGACGGGGGCCCGCACAAGCGGUGGAGCAUGUGGUUUAAUUCGAAGCAACGCGAAGAACCUUACCAGGUCUUGACAUCCCAUUGACCACUAUGGAGACAUAGUUUCCCCUUCGGGGACAACGGUGACAGGUGGUGCAUGGUUGUCGUCAGCUCGUGUCGUGAGAUGUUGGGUUAAGUCCCGCAACGAGCGCAACCCUUGUUCUUAGUUGCCAUCAUUUAGUUGGGCACUCUAAGGAGACUGCCGGUGACAAACCGGAGGAAGGUGGGGAUGACGUCAAAUCAUCAUGCCCCUUAUGACCUGGGCUACACACGUGCUACAAUGGACGGUACAAACGGUUGCCAACCCGCGAGGGGGAGCUAAUCCGAUAAAACCGUUCUCAGUUCGGAUUGUAGGCUGCAACUCGCCUACA
rnacentral:rRNA from 1 species